rnacentral:rRNA from 1 species
CCCUUAGAUGUUCUGGGCCGCACGCGCGCUACACUGACGAAUGCAACGAGCUUAUAACCUUGGCCGAAAGGUCUGGGUAAUCUCCAAAUUUCGUCGUGAUGGGGAUAGAUUAUUGCAAUUAUUAAUCUUCAACGAGGAAUGCCUAGUAAGCGCAAGUCAUCAGCUUGCGUUGAUUACGUCCCUGCCCUUUGUACACACCGCCCGUCGCUCCUACCGAUUGAAUGGUCCGGUGAAGCGUUCGGACCGUGGCCUUUGGACGGUCGCCGUCUGUUGGCUGCGGGAAGUUCGUUAAACCUUAUCAUUUAGAGGAAGGAGAAGUCGUAACA